CUUUCACCACCUCUACCUUGAUUCAGACGGGGGAAUCCAGUGGAAGCGCUUGCAGGAAAUUACAGAACAAGAUGGAGAAUCUACAAAACCUUGUGGAAACAAUGCAGUUAAAAAACCAAGCAAUGUCCAGCAUGAUCAGAUGCCAGGAAAAGAAAAUAGAGCAAGCCAAGGAAAAAGAGAAGAAACUCUCCAAAUGAAUAUAUAGGCACGUGGUUUUUUUUUUAAUUCCCCCAAAGAGGCAUCCAGAUUGCC